UGGGGAAUAUUGCACAAUGGGCGGAAGCCUGAUGCAGCGACGCCGCGUGGGGGAUGACGGCCUUCGGGUUGUAAACUCCUUUCACCAUCGACGAAGGUUUUCUGACGGUAUAUGGAGAAGAAGCACCGGCUAACUACGUGCCAGCAGCCGCGGUAAUACGUAGGGUGCGAGCGUUGUCCGGAAUUACUGGGCGUAAAGAGCUCGUAGGUGGUUUGUCGCGUCGUCUGUGAAAUUCCGGGGCUUAACUCCGGGCGUGCAGGCGAUACGGGCAUAACUUGAGUACUGUAGGGGAGACUGGAAUUCCUGGUGUAGCGGUGAAAUGCGCAGAUAUCAGGAGGAACACCGGUGGCGAAGGCGGGUCUCUGGGCAGUAACUGACGCUGAGGAGCGAAAGCAUGGGUAGCGAACAGGAUUAGAUACC
rnacentral:rRNA from 1 species